AAGAGAAGGAAAGAACAAUCUAUAAAAUCACAUUAGCACGACAAUCACACAUUUGAAAAAAGUUGUUUUUUCCAUCCGCACUGCAAUGUAUGUACAGCCAAAACAAUAAAUCAUUUAAUCUGCAAGAAUUUAGAUGCAUUGUUUCAAGUCAUAUUUCAAGCAAGUUUGUUUGUCUCCAAUUUUAACAGCACACCUAUUUUCCAAAUACAUUGACUUAACCAGAUCAUGCAUUUCUCUGUCUAUAAUAGAGCCCUUCAUGCCAAAUAGAACCGAAAGCUUUCUUGAAAUCAAUAAAACAAGUGAAUAUCUUACCAUUUUUUGUUUGGUGUACAUGUUAAUUAAAGUGUGAAGGGUAUAUACACGGUCAAUGGUUUGGUGUUUUGGGAGAAAGAUGGAGCGCUCUUUUAGAAUACUACAGAAUAGCUUACCUAAACUGCUGACACAGAUGUCACAGUAAUUACUAGGGUCUGAUUUGUCCCCACUCUCACUGCACCCUACAUCUCUGGGGUGCUGCCUUUGAGCAUUUAGUUUUUAAUGCUGUCCAGACCACAAGCUUUUCUCGGCAGGAGAGACUUUAUCUGUGUGGUCAAUUCUUCCCAAGUAAGUGGGAAAUCAAGGGGUUUUUGGUUGUCUUUAAUUGUUUCAUCUGUUUGUAGUUUUUCUUGUUUUUCUUAUAAUACAUUGAUGUGCAUUAAUUUAAUUUAUUGGUAUAUCUCUGUAGAGAUUUUCAAAAUGUGCUCUCCAGCUGUCACCAUUUUGGAUGGGUAGUGCUUGUGGUUGCCUUGUGUUGUUCCACAUAUCCCAGAAUUGAUUUUGAUUAAUGGCCUUUUCAAUAUCUUUAUAUCUUUAUCUUUCAUGUGGGUAUAAUUUUGUUUUUUGUUCCUUAUUGUACGUUUAUAUUUGUUUAAAAUGUCAUUAUACCUAGUGCGUAAGGCUGGGUUGUUUGGAUGGUGAUUUUUUUUCCAUUUGCUAUUUUUCUCAGAUCUUUUCUGAUCAUCUCCCUGAUGUCUCCCAGCUCAGAGGUAGCAGGGGGAGGGACUGUGGCAGGAGGCUGGUCUACAACUUCAGCAUAGCUCGGCAGCUGUGGGUGGGGAGGGGGAUAUGGGGCAGGUGCUGCUGCAUAUCUCUGCUGCUGUGGGUGAGGAGGGGGAUAUGGGGCAGGUGCUGCUGCAUAUCUCUGUUGCUGUGGGUGAGGAGGGGGAUAUGGGGCAGGUGCUGCUGCAUAUCUCUGCUGCUGUGGGUGAGGAGGGGAUAUGGGCCAGGUGCUGCUGCAUAUCUCUGCUGCUGUGGGUGAGGAGGGGGAUAUGGGGCACAGAGUAUCUUUGCAGAUGUAGAUGGAAUCAGUGAAGAAUAUGAGGUUGUUCUUCUUCCUUCCUUCUUUUUUGUUGAGCGUAGUCAGUGAAGAGGACCUCUGGGUUUUCACCGAGUGUCUUCUCCUUGUGAUUCUCCCUAGCUGUUCCACUCUUAUAUUUAGCAGGGUACUGAAUCUCCUUGCUCUCUACUUUGAGAGCUGUGCUUCCUUCCUUCCGUCCUUGUUUACUCCAAGGGGAGCUAGGCUAAUCAUUUACUGUUUGUAGGCUAGAAAAGCUUGCAAACAAACAAACAAACAACAAAAGACAGAACUAUGCACAG